GGGGUAUUAGCUCAGUUGGUUUAGAGCGCUGCCUUGACAGGGCAGAGGUCACUGGUUCGACUCCAGUAUAUCCCA
rnacentral:tRNA from 1 species